GAUGAACGCUAGCUACAGGCUUUAACACAUGCAAGUCGAGGGGAACGACAUCGAAAGCUUGCUUUUGAUGGGGCGUCGACCGGCGCACGGGUGAGUAACGCGUAUCCAACCUGCCCACCACUUGGGGGAUUAACCUUGCGAAAGUAAGACUAAUACCCAAUGAUAUCCCACGAAGGCAUCCGAAUGGGAUUAAAGAUUUUAUCGGUGAUGGAUGGGGAUGCGUCUGAUUAGCUUGUUGGCGGGGUAACGGCCACCAAGGCGACGAUCAGUAGGGGUUCUGAGAGGAAGGUCCCCCACAUUGGAACUGAGACACGGUCCAAACUCCUACGGGAGGCAGCAGUGAGGAACAUUGGUCAAUGGGCGAGAGCCUGAACCAGCCAAGUAGCGUGCAGGAUGACGGCCCUAUGGGUUGUAAACUGCUUUUAUAAGGGAAUAAAGUGGGUCUCGUGAGACUUUUUGCAUGUACCUUAUGAAUAAGGACCGGCUAAUUCCGUG
rnacentral:rRNA from 1 species